rnacentral:tRNA from 6 species
GGGGCUAUAGCUCAGCUGGUAGAGCGCCUGCCUUGCAAGUAGGAGGUCAGCGGUUCGACCCCGCUUAGCUCCA